GUAUAAGACAAGAAGAAGUCCUGGAGAGUUUAUUUCAGGAAGGAAUAAUUACAUGUGUGCUGAAAUAAUUUACAUAAGACAAAGAGAUAACAUUGUUCUCAAUGAUGAUAGCACGUCUUGUGAGGAAGAAUGAGAGAUUAUUGGCGAGGAAGUGACAACCACACACAGCAGCUUAAAAGGAACAAAGAAAUAAUAGUCAUACAGGGCUCCAUUUUCUGACGGAAGCUGUGGUGGUGACAUAAAGAGUAUAGUAAUGGUAUGGGCAAGACUGGUGGAGGGACAGGAUCUGGUGAGUUAAGGCUCUGUGACAAACAACCUGAUACUCAAUAAUUAUUGUAUCACCUACAUGUAUUAGCCUGUCAGCUUUUACUAAAGUCACUAAGUCAGACCCAUUAAUAAGGAGUAAGACACUGUGUCAUUUCGUUCUCGGACUAGUCCCAAAGAUAUGUUAGCUCCUCCCACUAGACCAGUACCAGUAUGCUGUUAAGAAAAGAGUGAAUAUUUAAAGAGAAAAAGAUGUCAUCUUUUCAUUUUGAAAGAGCCUAUCAUGACUACAUGUCUGA